CCGGCUCUGGCACCUCCUCUGCACCCUUGUUUGACACUCACAGCUCUGCGCUCCUUCCCUACACCCUCAGACUGUAUGCAUGGUAGGCUCGUUAAUCAGCUAAUACGCCUCAGCUUACACCCAUGCCUUGUAUCCUUGCGACAUGUACGUUCAAAGCAUCAUUUUUAAUAUUGAAAUCCAUGAAUGGUCAUCAAAGGUAAACAGAACAUUGAUAUAAACCCAGACCCAGAGUUCCCUUAAUGAGACAGAGGAAAUGUGUCUUGCCCAGGAACAGUCUCGGCCACACAGCAAAUUUAAGCAUCGUAAAUACCACCCACAUUAGUAACUGUAACAUAUUAGUGAUUGGAGCGCCUGUACUCACCUUCCUUACAUGCAUUGACGUAUAACCCUUUGUGAAGAAUACCGGACUAAAAUGAAAAACCAAGGUAGAUACAAUACUCUGAAACACGUUGGCUAUACUGGUUUGGCUGUUUCUUGUGCCGCACUUGGACGUGGCUGCUGACCCUCGCCCUCGUAGUGGUAACAGUGCACGACAGACUAAUGGGUGUGUGAACUGCCUGUGGUGAGCUUUGAACAUGCUGUAACCGUUGCCGCCAAGAAUAACCAUGAUGCAUUGCUUUGUAUAUGUUUGGAAUCAUGGCCAUAGUGUAGGUUGAUGUUUAUAUGUAGUGAUGUUCAAGGCUAUAUAUGAUUGCUCCAAUGUAUGACACCGAAAUUGACCUCUCUUGGCUACUCUUUACUUUUGGUUGUUAUGGGAGCGGCAAGUAGCAGGCUUUUUUUUUUUUUCUCACUUUUUGUUGCUCUUGUUUAUUAUGGGAGUGGCAAGUAGCAUCCUUUUUUAUUUUUUUUCACUUUUUGUUGCCCUUGAGCCGUCUCUGUUGUAAAAAAAAAAAAAGUCCCUAUCCUGGUCUCCCACAAUCACUGUACUGAGUCAACCUUUCACCCAUUGCUUGCAUCUCCUUAUUCCCUUAGUCCAUUCCCUUGCUCAUCCCCUCGCCCAGCACCCAUCGCUCACAUCCAGGCUGCUUAUUGCCAGUCACUAACCCUUAGACGGCGGUGGAACUCUACACAGACGGUCCAGAACUCAGUCAGUUUUGUAUGGCAGAAAUAUAACACUUCCAGACUGCGGUAGAAUCUAUAUGAAGACGAUAGUUAAAACGUCUCAUGCAGCGUAACUAUAUUAACUGCGGUCCUAAGGUUGGCAGUGACCAUAUAUAGACCAUUCAUUAUGGGGGGAGCUACUCUUCAGAUACUGCCGCUGUCUAAGGGCUAAACACCUUGGAAUGUCUUACCUGUGAAGAGAGACUGGCUUUUACUUUCCGUUCGUCUUCGUUUUCGUUCAGUGGAAAGAAAUUUGAUGAAGGGUGAUUUUGUGUCUAUUCUUGUUUGAGGGCUUCAGUCUGCAGCGCCCACCAUGAUUGCUUUUGCCACUAGAAGAGGUUAGUGUGAAUAGCCAAAUAGACUCUUGAGGUCCUUUUCUUAUAUGUAUUUACACCCAAAUUACAUGUACUCUAUAUAGACAACAUCCAGAUAAUGUGAAAGAAAAAAAAAUCACAACUACAUUACACGAUAAAUGAUUACGUUAAGGAGUCGGAGCCGGGAGUAUUUUUACCGACUCUGACUCCACGCCCCUGAUAGCUAGUGUUGCUUGUUUGGAAUACAGCCGUCCCUCAAAUAGUACAGUUUCCAAUAGUUCGGUUUUGGUUUUAUGUGGAUUUUCAUAGAAGAUUUUUUUAGGAUUUUUGAAUUUCCCAACGAGCAUGAAAUUUAAAAAUCCUAAAAAAAUCUUCCGUGACAAUCCGUAUAAAACCGAAACCGAACUAUUGAAAACCGUACUAUUUGAGGGAUGACUGUAAUUGUGUUUUCCUUCUCGCUGAUCUGAUAACCAACACAGCUGAGGAAAUGUGUCUUGUCCAGGAACAGCCUCGGCCACCCAGCAAAUUUAAGCAUAGUAAAUAGCACCCACAUUAGUAACUGUAACGUAACCACUGUAAUUAGUACCUGUGUAUUAGUGACUGGAGCGGCUGUACUCACCUUCCUUACAUGCAUUGACAUAGAACCUUUUGUGACCUUCAUUGCUGAUCUGUAUAGCCCUUUGUGACCUCCAGUGCUGAUACUGUAUGGGCCGUAUUGCUAAACCUUUCGUCACCUAAGUUCACAUAUUUGACAAGGCUUUCACAGGAGUUUGGGACAUUUCCAGGAUUAGCUUUAUGACCCUGGUGGUAGUUUGAUCCCUCUUCUGUACCGUGAACCUGAAGAAACACUCAUUAGAGCCUGAUUAACCCUUUCUUUGACCUUUAGAAGUAGCUGAUGUGAGAA